AAAGUCUGACGGAGCAACGCCGCGUGAGUGAUGAAGGUUUUCGGAUCGUAAAGCUCUGUUGUUAGGGAAGAACAAGUGCAAGAGUAACUGCUUGCACCUUGACGGUACCUAACCAGAAAGCCACGGCUAACUACGUGCCAGCAGCCGCGGUAAUACGUAGGUGGCAAGCGUUGUCCGGAAUUAUUGGGCGUAAAGGGCUCGCAGGCGGUUUCUUAAGUCUGAUGUGAAAGCCCCCGGCUCAACCGGGGAGGGUCAUUGGAAACUGGGAAACUUGAGUGCAGAAGAGGAGAGUGGAAUUCCACGUGUAGCGGUGAAAUGCGUAGAGAUGUGGAGGAACACCAGUGGCGAAGGCGACUCUCUGGUCUGUAACUGACGCUGAGGAGCGAAAGCGUGGGGAGCGAACAGGAUUAGAUACCCUGGUAGUCCACGCCGUAAACGAUGAGUGCUAAGUGUUAGGGGGUUUCCGCCCCUUAGUGCUGCAGCUAACGCAUUAAGCACUCCGCCUGGGGAGUACGGUCGCAAGACUGAAACUCAAAGGAAUUGACGGGGGCCCGCACAAGCGGUGGAGCAUGUGGUUUAAUUCGAAGCAACGCGAAGAACCUUACCAGGUCUUGACAUCCUCUGACAACCCUAGAGAUAGGGCUUUCCCUUCGGGGACAGAGUGACAGGUGGUGCAUGGUUGUCGUCAGCUCGUGUCGUGAGAUGUUGGGUUAAGUCCCGCAACGAGCGCAACCCUUGAUCUUAGUUGCCAGCAUUUAGUUGGGCACUCUAAGGUGACUGCCGGUGACAAACCGGAGGAA
rnacentral:rRNA from 2 species